UGUCUGCAUACCAAUUGUUGCCUCGGCGGAUCAGCCCGCUCCCGGUAAAACGGAACGGCCCGCCAGAGGACCCCUAAACUCUGUUUCUAUAUGUAACUUCUGAGUAAAACCAUAAAUAAAUCAAAACUUUCAACAACGGAUCUCUUGGUUCUGGCAUCGAUGAAGAACGCAGCAAAAUGCGAUAAGUAAUGUGAAUUGCAGAAUUCAGUGAAUCAUCGAAUCUUUGAACGCACAUUGCGCCCGCCAGUAUUCUGGCGGGCAUGCCUGUUCGAGCGUCAUUUCAACCCUCAAGCCCCCGGGUUUGGUGUUGGGGAUCGGCGAGCCUCACGGCAAGCCGGCCCCGAAAUACAGUGGCGGUCUCGCUGCAGCUUCCAUUGCGUAGUAGUAAAACCCUCGCAACUGGUACGCGGCGCGGCCAAGCCGUUAAACCCCCAACUUCUGAAUGUUGACCUCGGAUCAGGUAGGAAUACCCGCUGAACUUAAGCAUAUCAAUAA
rnacentral:rRNA from 1 species